ACCACCACCCAGCUAAAAUAAAAAUAAAUUUGAAAAAUAAGUAAAUAAACAGGUGUGUCUAGUUUGAUGGAAGUAGCAAUUCUGUGAGUUCUUAAUAAUCUUAUCACAUGUUUUGGUUCUAAUUUUACUCUCUGUUUCUUCCUUGAAGUGUAGAUGUUGCCAGAAAUCCCAUUACAUGAAUAAGGUAUGAUUAUAGAGCAGAGGGUAUUUGUUCCCGGGAAACAUAGAACCUUAAAAGCUGAAUAGAUAUGUCCAAAGCCUUUAAAUGAAAUAUCAAAUUGCAGUUCUUUGCAUUGCAUUUACAAAUUGGUAGGUAACAUGCUGACUGAGAUGGAGUUGCAAAUACACCAAAAUACUAUCAGGAGCUCUUGUAUCACAUUGAAAAUGAAGGCUUCAGGAUCAGUGAUAACACACAUCCUCCCAAGCCAGGUGGCCAGAAUUAGAUCCUUGGAGCCUAUAUUGCUAGAAUGAGAGAACUGCUUCUACAGGUUUUCCCGACUGUCUCACAGUCUCUGUCUCUCUCUCUCUCACACAAAUACACAAUAAAAAAAAUGUAAAAAAGAAAAAGAUAACAGAUUUUCCAUUGUUAAUAGGUUUCAUAAUUUGUCAAAUUGUUUACCUUGAUUUGAGCUUUUCAGAAUUUCAGUUUUCUUUAGAAUACUGCUAGUGGAAAUAUUGUUAUUUAUAAGUUGGUUUUCACCUGGAAGGGGCCUAUGAGAAUUAGAUCCACUAAAAACACCAAAUUUGUUUAAGCUGCUAGUUUUUGUCAAGUUCUGGCACAUCUUUUACUUUUUUGGUAGCGUAAAGGACUUUAUAAUGUCUUUCAGAGAAUUUGAACAUUGGCCUCAAUUUAGCCUAACUCCUGAAAAGCUAAUGAUACCACUGUAAUUUUAAGGAGUUUGUGGAAUUGGUAAUGAUGGUCUCUUGGCUCUGAUGAAAUGCAGUCACUCACUACAUCUCUCCCCGAUCCCUUUUCUUGACGUGAAGUUCUGGUUGGUCUUGAACUCUAGAUCCUUGUAUCUCUGCAUCACGAAUGAUGUGGGGACAAAGGUCCACUGCUCCUUUGCCUGGCCUUCACUUGAUCUCUAUGUAAAUAUCAAGGACUUCCAUUUUACCUCUUCCUUUGUAAUUUGAAGAAUUCGAGUACCUUUUAUUUCUGAUCUUUUGGUAUGAAUGUGUUGCUCAAAACCUGGUGCAGUUCUUUGCAGUCACGGCUGUGGGUAUCUGAGGCCUAUUUUGUUCCGCCUGCCUCUGCCUCCCAAGUGCUGGGAUUAAGGGCAUGUGCCACCACUGUCCGGCCAUAAAUUGAUUUUUAAGGUUUUUGUUUUAUUUUGUUGUUUUUUUCUUUUUUUUGGUUUAUUUUUGAAAAAGGUGUUUUUGACUGCAUGCAUAUCUGUGCACCUUAUGAGUACCUUGUACCAGGGGAAGGCAAAAGAGGGCAUCAGAUCUUCUCGAACUGGAAUUAUGGAUGGUAGUGAUCUCCUUACUGUGUGGAUGCUGGCUAUCUAUUGAACCUGGGCCCAGAAGUAUUCUACUGAGCAACAGUCCUUGGAGGUAGAAUCUUAAGCUGCCGCUACUUCCCAAGUGAUAGAGGUGUGACACCAUGCAAAAUUUGAAAACCCAGGUGGGCCUGUUGUGGUGACUCACGCCUUUAAUCCCAGCACUUUGGAAGUAGAGGCCUGUGGAUCUCUGUAGCCAGCAUUUGCUACUUCAUGGGCCCUCCUUCUUCCAUUCUUCACUUCAUUUUUUGGCCCUUUCAACAUCCUAGUACUAGAUACUUUACCAUUAGACUUCUUCCUGCUGAUGAGGGGCAAGUUUCGUCUUUGCCUUCAGGAUAAUCUUAUUUUUUUCUUCUUUGCACAAGACUACUUAACAAACCGAGACCAACAGCAACCAACCAACAACCCACCCGCAUCUGGGGCCCUAGUAUUUAUAUACCCCCCGAGAAGUCCCCAGAGUUCCAAAUGUCACACAAUUGCAGAACUAUCUGCUAGAGCACUAGGCAAAUCAUACUACACUGCUGUGGAUAAUCUGAAGUAGUCCCAUAUCUCGCACCUGAGAUAAAAGUGAAAAUAUUCCCAUACUAUUUAUGUUAGAUCUCAGUGAGUUGUGGGCCAGCUUAGUUUACAUAGGGAAUUCCAGGCUAACCCCAGCUGUAUUAUGAUACUA